rnacentral:rRNA from 1 species
GUGGGGAAUAUUGGACAAUGGGCGCAAGCCUGAUCCAGCAAUGCCGCGUGCAGGAAGAAGGCCUUCGGGUUGUAAACUGCUUUUGUACGGAACGAAACGGUCCGGGCUAAUACCCUGGGCUAAUGACGGUACCGUAAGAAUAAGCACCGGCUAACUACGUGCCAGCAGCCGCGGUAAUACGUAGGGUGCAAGCGUUAAUCGGAAUUACUGGGCGUAAAGCGUGCGCAGGCGGUUUUGUAAGACAGGCGUGAAAUCCCCGGGCUCAACCUGGGAAUUGCGCUUGUGACUGCAAGGCUGGAGUGCGGCAGAGGGGGAUGGAAUUCCGCGUGUAGCAGUGAAAUGCGUAGAUAUGCGGAGGAACACCGAUGGCGAAGGCAAUCCCCUGGGCCUGCACUGACGCUCAUGCACGAAAGCGUGGGGAGCAAACAGGAUUAGAAACCCCAGUAGUCC